rnacentral:misc_RNA from 1 species
UCUCCGUUGGUGAACCAGCGGAGGGAUCAUUACAGAGUUUUCACGCUCAGACCCGACGCGAACCUGAAACUGUUGCUUCGGCGGGCUGCCAGCCUUGCUGCGUCCGCCGAAGGUCUACAUUAGGCUCUUUAGCUGGGGUGCUAUCCCCUGUACUGUCCUCUGAAUCGCUUCCAAACUAGUCAAAACUUUCAACAACGGAUCUCUUGGUUCUG